AAAAACCGAAUUCUUCGGUUUUUUGUGUCCAAUGUUUGACCGUCCGUCUUAUAUAAAUUUUUUUAAUGAUUAGUAUUUUCAUUAUUAUUAGAUGAUAAAACAUGAAUAACGGUUUAUGCAUGACUUAUCUUUUUAAAUUUUUUUCAUAAUUUUUUCAAAUAAGACGAACGGUCAAACGUUAGACACGGAAAUUCAGGAAUUGAGUUUUU
rfam:Oryza glaberrima chromosome 8 Oglab08_0038_28, whole genome shotgun sequence.